rnacentral:rRNA from 1 species
UCAGCGAACGCUGGCGGCAGGCUUAACACUUGCAAGUCGAGCGCCCACUUCGCUGGGAGCGGCAGACGGGUGAGUAACGCGUGGGAAUGUGCCUUUUGGUUCGGAAUAGCCCCGGGAAACUGGGAGUAAUACCGGAUAAGCCCUUCGGGGGAAAGAUUUAUCGCCAAAAGAUCAGCCCGCGUUAGAUUAGCUAGUUGGUGAGGUAACGGCUCACCAAGGCGACGAUCUAUAGCUGGUCUGGGAGGACGACCAGCCACACUGGAACUGAGACACGGUCCAGACUCCUACGGGAGGCAGCAGUGGGGAAUCUUGGACAAUGGGCGCAAGCCUGAUCCAGCCAUGCCGCGUGAAUGAUAAAGGCCUUAGGGUUGUAAAAUUCUUUCAGCAGGGAAGAUAAUGACGGUACCUGCAAAAGAAGCCCCGGCUAACUCCGUGCCAGCAGCCGCGGUAAUACGGAGGGGGCUAGCGUUGUUCGGAAUUACUGGGCGUAAAGCGUACGUAGGCGGAUCGGCCAGUCAGAGGUGAAAGCCCUGGGCUCAACCCAGGAACUGCCUUUGAUACUGCCGAUCUAGAGUCCGGGAGAGGAUAGUGGAAUUCCCAGUGUAGAGGUGAAAUUCGUAGAUAUUGGGAAGAACACCAGUGGCGAAGGCGGCUAUCUGGACCGGUACUGACGCUAAGGUGCGAAAGCGUGGGGAGCAAACAGGAUUAGAUCCCCUGGUAGUCCACGCCGUAAACGAUGUGUGCUAGACGUCGGGCAGCUUGCUGUUCGGUGUCGCAGCUAACGCACUAAGCACGCCGCCUGGGGAGUACGAUCGCAAGAUUAAAACUCAAAGGAAUUGACGGGGGCCCGCACAAGCGGUGGAGCAUGUGGUUUAAUUCGAAGCAACGCGCAGAACCUUACCAGCCCUUGACAUCCCGGUCGCGGUUUCCAGAGAUGGAUUCCUUCAGUUCGGCUGGACCGGUGACAGGUGCUGCAUGGCUGUCGUCAGCUCGUGUCGUGAGAUGUUGGGUUAAGUCCCGCAACGAGCGCAACCCUCGCCCUUAGUUGCCAGCAUUAAGUUGGGCACUCUAGGGAGACUGCCGGGGACAACUCGGAGGAAGGUGGGGAUGACGUCAAGUCAUCAUGCCCCUUACGUUUUGGGCUACACACGUACUACAAUGGUCGGGACAAAGGGCAGCAACCCCGCGAGGGCAAGCGAAUCUCAUCAAACCCGGCCUCAGUUCAGAUAGCAGGCUGCAACUCGCCUGCAUGAAGGAGGAAUCGCUAGUAAUCGCAGGUCAGCAUACUGCGGUGAAUCCGUUCCGGGCCUUGUACACACCGCCCGUCACACCAUGGAAGCUGGCAACGCCCGAAGUCGUUACUCUAACC